rnacentral:rRNA from 1 species
ACUCAAAUGAAUUGACGGGGGCCCGCACAAGCGGUGGAGCAUGUGGUUCAAUUCGACGCAACGCGAAGAACCUUACCCAGGCUUGACAUGCACUGGACGGGUGUGGAAACACACCGUUCCUUCGGGACUGGUGCACAGGUGCUGCAUGGCUGUCGUCAGCUCGUGUCGUGAGAUGUUGGGUUAAGUCCCGCAACGAGCGCAACCCUUGCCCUUAGUUGCUAACGUGUAAAGGCGAGCACUCUAAGGGGACUGCCGACGGUAAGUCGGAGGAAGGUGGGGAUGACGUCAAGUCCUCAUGGCCCUUACGCCUGGGGCUACACACGUGCUACAAUGGCCGAUACAAAGGGCUGCGAUAUCGCGAGAUGGAGCCAAUCCCAAAAAGUCGGCCUCAGUUCGGAUUGCAGUCUGCAACUCGACUGCAUGAAGUCGGAAUCGCUAGUAAUCGCUGAUCAGCAGGCAGCGGUGAAUACGUUCCCGGGCCUUGUACACACCGCCCGU